CGCAGAAACCAAAAUUAAAUAAAAUGUUCUGUCCAAAAGAAAGGGCUAAGGAUCAGGUCACAGGAGCAAGUGUGACAUAAUGUUUAAUGAUGGAUCUCAGGAAAAAACAUUGGUUUUAAGCCAAAGUCCAGAGGAAGCAAUCUGCCCUGAUGGCCUUUUACAUCAAUUAUUCAAAAUCAAGAAGCCAUUAAUUCUUGUAUCUGCGCAUCUGUAAUAAUACUAUUUCAAAGGUGGAGAGCAAGGAGAAAACCUGCCAAUAAAAAUAUUGGAUCUUUCAAGACUCGUAUGAUUUAUAUGCGUCAUUGCAAUUCUGUUCAGAGUGCUGAGACCUUAGUGGCUAGACUUGAGAGGAUUGAAUUAUUCAUGGUUUUCUGGUCAAUAUACAUAAC
rnacentral:lncRNA from 1 species